CGGUAAGACCCCUGGAAGACUACCAGGUAGAUAGGCCAGAGGUGUAAGCGUCGUAAGGCGUUUAGCUGACUGGUACUAAUAGGUCGAGGGCUUGAUCUU
rnacentral:rRNA from 1 species